UACAGAGGUCUCAAGCGUUGUUCGGAUUCAUUGGGCGUAAAGGGUGCGUAGGCGGCGCGGUAAGUCGGGUGUGAAAUCUCGGAGCUUAACUCCGAAACUGCAUUCGAUACUGCCGUGCUUGAGGACUGGAGAGGAGACUGGAAUUUACGGUGUAGCGGUGAAAUGCGUAGAUAUCGUAAGGAAGACCAGUGGCGAAGGCGGGUCUCUGGACCGGUACUGACGCUGAUGCGCGAAAGCUAGGGGAGCGAACGGG
rnacentral:rRNA from 1 species